rnacentral:lncRNA from 1 species
ACCUGCAUGUCUGCUGUCUCUCACUAGAAAGGAUCUAUUUUACUUUCCAAAAUGUGAGAAGUUCUGCUAACACCAUGUUUCUUGAGCCAGCAACAUGGAACCAAGCAAUGAAGUUUUUUUUUUUGUUUUUGUUUUUUUUUUUUUUUUUUUUUUUUUUCUCAAAUUAAAUGUGUCUACAUUGAUGUUUUAGUUUCAAUACACUCAUUGUGCCUCAACGACUGGUAGGUGUUUAGGCCACAGGAACAGAUGGGAACUAAUCCCAGAUGCUGUCCCCAAAAAUUACUCUACAAUAAUGGAAGGCCUGCAGCAUUUAAAGUUUCACCCCACAAAUCUUUUCUGCAUACUACAUUACUUAGUGGCAUAGAGAGAGCCACUUCUUCCUGCCUGUCUUGCUGUCUUCCUUUUCUGCUGGCCUGCCUUAACAGGUGGUGCACAUGGAGUAGAGGGGCUGAAGAUGAUGGUGUGAUUUGGGUUUACCAUCCCAUCCUCUUCUUCAGAUGGUAGGCUUUGCUCAAGCAAGAAAGGAUCCUGGUAAUGGUAACUGGAUUCCUAGACAGGUUUUCUCCAGAUUGAUGAUAAAACCAAAAAGUACUUUGAAGAUGGGAAAUUGCAAAUGCCGAAACUGUGUCUUCGUACCUCCAAUAUGUGUCACCACAUGCUUCAAAUGAAUGUGACUGAUAGAAGUGUUACCAGAAAACUGUGGCCAAGAAUCAAAAAGGGACUGCUGAAUUUUUAAAUGUGUGAUUCUUUUUCAUGUCAUUGAGGCAAGAAAUGUAUUUUCUUCUUCCUGUUUUUUAUUUUUAUUUAUUUAUUCUUUCUCUCUCUCUUCCUCUGGCUUUUGAAACUCUUCCAUACACAUAGUGGUGUGGAAGCAAGUUUAACUUUUUUUUUUUUCUUUCCUUUAGUGAGGAAAGAAAAGCAAUAUGUGUCUUCUCUUAAAUGUCAAGAAGUCAUAAGUCAAAGGUGAAAAGUCAAAAAGUCAUCUCCAUGUGACUUCUUAGUUUUCUGAAGGCACAAGGAGGUUUUCUUCUGAAAGUUCUUCUAGGACAUCUGUGCAAAAAUGGUUACUUUAAAAACAAUAAGAAAUACCUACUCUGAUAAUGGAGGACAGAGAGUUUUGAGAACUUUCAUGGUUACAAAUUUGGCUGAUGAUUUUAAGGUGCUUUCUAAAAGAUCUUGCUUUUCAGAAAAUUCAUUAGCAAAAUAAAUGAAUCCACUUUCAGAAGGCUUAAAUUAAA